UAGGGAAUCUUCCACAAUGGACGCAAGUCUGAUGGAGCAACGCCGCGUGAGUGAAGAAGGUUUUCGGAUCGUAAAGCUCUGUUGUUGGUGAAGAAGGAUAGAGGUAGUAACUGGCCUUUAUUUGACGGUAAUCAACCAGAAAGUCACGGCUAACUACGUGCCAGCAGCCGCGGUAAUACGUAGGUGGCAAGCGUUGUCCGGAUGUAUUGGGCGUAAAGCGAGCGCAGGCGGAAGAAUAAGUCUGAUGUGAAAGCCCUCGGCUUAACCGAGGAACUGCAUCGGAAACUGUUUUUCUUGAGUGAAGAAGAGGAGAGUGGAAUUCCAUGUGUAGCGGUGGAAUGCGUAGAUAUAUGGAAGAACACCAGUGGCGAAGGCGACUCUCUGGUCUGCAACUGACGCUGAGGCUCGAAAGCAUGGGUAGCGAACAGG
rnacentral:rRNA from 1 species